CACAAUGAUAUCAUUCUUAAACUUCAUUUUCUAAGCUUUUCCCCUACAACUCCCUUUGAUUGAAAAAAAUAGAAAUCCACUUUUUUUCUCCAAUCAAAGAGUAGAAAUCCACUUCAUUUCUCCAAAAUAAAAGAGAGUUGUAGAGGAA
rnacentral:pre_miRNA from 1 species